AUUGAACGCUAGCGGGAUGCUUUACACAUGCAAGUCGAACGAGUGGCGGACGGGUGAGUAAUAUAUCGGAACCUGCCCAGUAGCGGGGGAUAACUACUCGAAAGAGUGGCUAAUACCGCAUACCAUCGGAGCGGCCCAUAUCGGAUUAGCUAGUUGGUGGGGUAAAGGCUCACCAAGGCAACGAUCCGUAGCUGGUUUGAGAGGAUGACCAGCCACACUGGGACGGAGACACGGCCCAGACUCCUACGGGAGGCAGCAGUGGGGAAUUUUGGACAAUGGGGGAAACCCUGAUCCAGCCAUCCCGCGUGUAUGAGAAGGCCUUCGGGUUGUAAAGUACUUUUGGCAGAGAAGCGGUAUCUGCAGAAUAAGCACCGGCUAACUCCGUGCCAGCAGCCGCGGUAAUUC
rnacentral:rRNA from 1 species